rnacentral:rRNA from 1 species
GGUUAGUACGGGCGGUAGGCCUGGGGAAGCCGUAUGGGGCAAGCGUGGUCCGUAGUUAUUGGGCUUAAAGCUCGUGGAGGCGGGCCAGCAGUUGCGCUGUGAAAACUAGAGGCGUAAACUGGGUGGUUGUGGGGAAACCGGUUGGCUAGAGUCCGGAAGAUGAGAGUGGAAUUCCCGGUGUAGCGGUGAAAUGCGCAGAUAUCGGGAAGAACACCCGUGGCGAAGGCGGCUCUCUGGGACGGUACUGACGCUGAGACGCGAAAGCGUGGGGAGCGAACAGGAUUAGAUACCCCAGUAGUC